rnacentral:rRNA from 1 species
GACAGAGGUGCCGAGCGUUAGGCGGAAUCACUGGGCUUAAAGCGUGUGUAGGCGGAUCGUUAAGUGUCUUGUGAAAUCCCCCGGCUCAACCGGGGAACGGCUGGGCAUACUGGCGAUCUUGAGCGGCCUAGGGGCAGAUGGAACAGACGGUGGAGCGGUGAAAUGCGUAGAUAUCGUCUGGAACGCCAAAGGUGAAAACAGUCUGCUGGGGGCCUGCUGACGCUGAGACACGAAAGCCAGGGGAGCGAACGGG